GCGAAUAACAUUAUGAACAUAUUAUGACUUGAUUAUGUGAGCAGGCUGUUUAUCUGAUACAAGUGAAUUUGCUUGCAUAGUUCUAGAAGAUAUGGGUCCUAAUGGGCAUGGCUGAAAGGAUUUGCUUAGUGGAUGUGCACUCAAUGGCAAUGUUAAGCUUGCAGAACUUGCUGAAAAACGCAUAUUUGGGAAAGGCCAAAGAGAUUUUUUAAGAAUCCAUGCUGUUACUCCUCUCAGACGUUUAUGCAUCAGCUGGAAGGUUUCAAGCUGCUAAAUCUUUGAGAUCGAGUAUGCAGAACAAGAGGUUUAUCCAGAAUCCAGGAAUCAGCUUUGUAGAUGGGAAUUCAAAUGACUGUGGUUGAGAGAAGAAUCAGUAAUGCUCUAGUAGGCCCUCACAAAGUGAAAUAUCUCGCCAUUCUGAAGUUUAGCAAUUUGCAUGCGGGAAUUCUAUGAAUUCUGGCCUCCCCCAUUUCCUUUGUAUUUUCUUCAUUUUUCCCUUUUUUCUUAUCGAUAAUUCUCAAAAUGCUCCCUUUUAAAAUGAAUUUUGGGUAUUUUUUAUUUCUACUCUUGUUGAUAAUUCUUGAAUUGUUUUUUACAGUUGAGAAUUUUUUUUAAG
rnacentral:misc_RNA from 1 species